AAAAAGGUCAGGGAUGUCGAAAAAUCACCCAAAACAUCCACUGAGUGAAGAUCGAAGCAUCAAACAACAGUAAAAGCUCUGAUUAUCCGUUUAGUACACAUCGUUCUCUCGGUAAACAAAAUCUCUCACAAAUAUCCGAGAAAAACCUUCAAUAAAACUUCCAACGCAAUCGAUAACAAGUAACGGAGAUGAAUCCGAGGAUCAUCCCGCUCUGAUAC
rnacentral:lncRNA from 1 species